rnacentral:rRNA from 1 species
UAUAAAGUCUAACCUGCCCACUGAUAAUUAUUAAAGGGCCGCGGUAUUUUGACUGUGCAAAGGUAGCAUAAUCAUUUGUCUCUUAAUUGGAGGCUGGAAUGAAUGGUUGAAUGAAAUAUUAACUGUCUCAUUUUUAAAAUUUUAAAAACUUAGCUUUUAAGUCAAAAGGCUUAAAUGAAUUUAGAGGACGAGAAGACCCUAUAGAUCUUUAUAAUUUAUUUAAUUUUAUAAAAUAGAAAAAUAAUUAAUAAAAUUAAUAUAAUUAUUUUAUUGGGGUGAUAGGAAAAUUUAAUAAACUUUUUUUAUUUAUUAACAUUGAUUUAUGAUUAAUUGAUCCAUUUUUAGUGAUUAUAAGAUUAAGCUACCUUAGGGAUAACAGCGUAAUUUUUUUAGAGAGUUCUUAUCGAUAAAAAAGAUUGCGACCUCGAUGUUGAAUUAAAGGUUAUUUCUAGAUGUAGCAGUUUAGAGUUUAGG